GACAACUUUCCUUGCUAGGGUGGAGCUCCGGGCAGUCGGAACCGGAACUGCAGGGGUAGGCGGGGCGAGCAAACCGCCUUGCAGCUGAGUUUCGGUUUCCACCCAAGAGGAUUGUCGCUUGUGUACUUUUUGUGACCCGGCGGCUUCCGCUGGCGACGUGCGUAGCCUGUACAAGUUCUGUUUCCACCCACUGCUGAAACGCCUACUUCAGAGAGGAACGAGUGUUUCCGGUUUGAGCGGAGUUAGUCUGUGUUCUUUAUUCUCUAGACAAAAUUCUACCGGAUAGAUUUGUCAGCCAGGUGGUAGUGGCCCACGUCCUUAAACCUGUCACUCUGGAGGCAGAAGUAGGAGGAUCUCUUGUGUAUUUGAGACAACUGGUAAAACUGAGUUGGCCCUUCCAAAGUGGCCCUAUGGCAUAAAGGGAAGUUACAUAAAACAACAUAACUCUGCCAAACCCCAGGUUUACCAUGUGAGAACCUAGAACCAAUUUCAACACCGGGAAAUAAGUAAAUUCAUUUUUAUGGGUGCAAAAGCAAAUGUCUGUACUUAACAACUCCUAACUGAAGAGAAAAGUGCACCAUUUACAAACGGCUGGGUAGGCUUGAGAAACCAACCUUACAUGCUCUACUCGGGUCAGCAGUGGCAAGAGAUCCUCUCAUGUCCUCUGACAACCAAGGGAUAUUAAUAUCAACUCUAGGUGGUAUGUCUAAGCCUUAGAUCGUGUUUUACAUUGUGAAGGUUGUAUCUAAUUAAAAACCAAAUUGAUAUAUACAGUA